CAGGAUGAGUGGGUUUUUAGGGAGCAUUCUCUGGAAAACAAACCAUUCCCUCUGGUUCAGUAUGGUGGGUUAGUGUGGAAAGGUGAUGUUUUUGAGAUGUACGAACACAGAUGGUGAUGGAUACGAACAGGCUGAUGAAGGCUGUGCAUGUUUGCUCUUGGAAAUCAUCUGUUCCUGAACAUCAUCAUGGCUUGACACAAGAUUCGGUUUGGAUUACCACACAAAUUGUUUUAUUUGCUGAGCUUUUAAUAUCUGUAAAGACUAUAAAUGAGAUUUAUGAUUGCUUAUUUGGUAUUAUGGUGGGUUUAAUUCCAGUCCAACCAUUCCAGUAAUGCAUUGGAAUGCCUUGAGGUUGGAUCCCAGUGGAUUCCGCAACUCAAUCAAGGCCAGGUCAUUGCUGUUUUCUGCAGGAAGAUGGCCCCUGAAGCCCCUGGCAGCCCGACAUUGGCAUCAUCUCAGUAACUGGCAACUAUAUUGUCCACAGUAGCAGCUGUGACUCACCUCGGGGACGAAGCGCUGGUCUCACUGCACAUGGUCAUGUAAGACCAAAUUAAAACCAAUGCCAAAUACAGUAACUGAGACACAGAGGAGACACUAGAGGACAUUGACUGUCCUUCAGGGUGCAAGUUUUAAUUUUCACAUAAGUAUGCAGAUGCUGUUAUUAGCUUUUUAUGUGCAUGAUAAUACUGAAUGACUUAAAGUCGCCAUGAUAUCAAAAUGUACAAUUCUUAUUUUUAUAUGUAAUAUUAUAGUGUUUAUAAUAGAUGAUUUAUCUGUGCGCUUCAUUCUUUUUUUAAAAAUUCAUGUGUCCUCAUAAUCUUUAAUCAAAUACAUUAACCUUCCCUCCCCCCUCAAAAUGACUUCUCUUCUAUUUCUGUCAUGUGCUAUGGCGUGAGAAUUAGAUGGUAUUGAGGAUUAGAUCAUUUAAUUUAAUUGAGAAUUUGACAAUUUAGGCAUUUUAUAUGGACACCCAACAAUAAAAUCAAUAUCAUUUGAAGCUGAAAUUAAGAG
ensembl:lncRNA